rnacentral:rRNA from 1 species
CCGCUAGCUACAGGCUUAACACAUGCAAGUCGACGUGAAACGGGAAGAAAGCUUGCUUUCUUUGCCGGCGACCGGCGCACGGGUGAGUAACACGUAUCCAACCUGCCCUUUACUCGGGGAUAGCCUUUCGAAAGAAAGAUUAAUACCCGAUAGUAUAAUGAUUCCGCAUGGUUUCAUUAUUAAAGGAUUCCGGUAAAGGAUGGGGAUGCGUUCCAUUAGGUUGUUGGUGAGGUAACGGCUCACCAAGCCUUCGAUGGAUAGGGGUUCUGAGAGGAAGGUCCCCCACAUUGGAACUGAGACACGGUCCAAACUCCUACGGGAGGCAGCAGUGAGGAAUAUUGGUCAAUGGGCGCUAGCCUGAACCAGCCAAGUAGCGUGAAGGAUGAAGGCUCUAUGGGUCGUAAACUUCUUUUAUAUAAGAAUAAAGUGCAGUAUGUAUACUGUUUUGUAUGUAUUAUAUGAAUAAGGAUCGGCUAACUCCGUGCCAGCAGCCGCGGUAAUACGGAGGAUCCGAGCGUUAUCCGGAUUUAUUGGGUUUAAAGGGAGCGUAGGUGGACUGGUAAGUCAGUUGUGAAAGUUUGCGGCUCAACCGUAAAAUUGCAGUUGAUACUGUCAGUCUUGAGUACAGUAGAGGUGGGCGGAAUUCGUGGUGUAGCGGUGAAAUGCUUAGAUAUCACGAAGAACUCCGAUUGCGAAGGCAGCUCACUGGACUGCAACUGACACUGAUGCUCGAAAGUGUGGGUAUCAAACAGGAUUAGAUACCCUGGUAGUCCACACAGUAAACGAUGAAUACUCGCUGUUUGCGAUAUACAGUAAGCGGCCAAGCGAAAGCAUUAAGUAUUCCACCUGGGGAGUACGCCGGCGACGGUGAAACUCAAAGGAAUUGACGGGGGCCCGCACAAGCGGAGGAACAUGUGGUUUAAUUCGAUGAUACGCGAGGAACCUUACCCGGGCUUAAAUUGCAGUGGAAUGAUGUGGAAACAUGUCAGUGAGCAAUCACCGCUGUGAAGGUGCUGCAUGGUUGUCGUCAGCUCGUGCCGUGAGGUGUCGGCUUAAGUGCCAUAACGAGCGCAACCCUUAUCUUCAGUUACUAACAGGUCAUGCUGAGGACUCUGGAGAGACUGCCGUCGUAAGAUGUGAGGAAGGUGGGGAUGACGUCAAAUCAGCACGGCCCUUACGUCCGGGGCUACACACGUGUUACAAUGGGGGGUACAGAAGGCAGCUGGCGGGUGACCGUAUGCUAAUCCCAAAAUCCUCUCUCAGUUCGGAUCGAAGUCUGCAACCCGACUUCGUGAAGCUGGAUUCGCUAGUAAUCGCGCAUCAGCCACGGCGCGGUGAAUACGUUCCCGGGCCUUGUACACACCGCCCGUCAAGCCAUGGGAGCCGGGGGUACCUGAAGUACGUAACCGCAAGGAUCGUCCUAGGGUAAAACUGGUG